UACGUAGGUGGCAAGCGUUGUCCGGAUUUACUGGGCGUAAAGCGCACGUAGGCGGUUUAGAAAGUCCCAUGUGAAAUCCCACAGCUUAACUGUGGAAGUGCAUGGGAAACCUCUAGACUUGAGUACGAAAGAGGAUCGCGGAAUUCCCGGUGUAGAGGUGAAAUUCGUAGAUAUCGGGAGGAACACCAGUGGCGAAGGCGGCGAUCUGGGUCGAUACUGACGCUGAGGUGCGAAAGCGUGGGGAGCAAACAGG
rnacentral:rRNA from 1 species